rnacentral:rRNA from 1 species
UGGGGAAUAUUGCGCAAUGGGCGAAAGCCUGACGCAGCGACGCCGCGUGAGGGACGACGGCCUUCGGGUUGUAAACCUCUUUCAGCUCUGACGAAGCGAAAGUGACGGUAGGAGCAGAAGAAGCACCGGCCAACUACGUGCCAGCAGCCGCGGUAAUACGUAGGGUGCAAGCGUUGUCCGGAAUUAUUGGGCGUAAAGAGCUCGUAGGCGGUCUGUCGCGUCGAAUGUGAAAACCCGGGGCUCAACCCCGGGCCUGCAUUCGAUACGGGCAGACUAGAGUUCGGUAGGGGAGACUGGAAUUCCUGGUGUAGCGGUGAAAUGCGCAGAUAUCAGGAGGAACACCGGUGGCGAAGGCGGGUCUCUGGGCCGAUACUGACGCUGAGGAGCGAAAGCGUGGGGAGCGAACA